UCCGGUUUGACACCGGCAGUCUCCCAUGAGUCCUCAGCCGAACUGUUAGCAACAUGGGAUAGGGGUUGCGCUCGUUGCGGGGCUUAACCCAACAUCUCACGACACGAGCUGAGGACAGCCAUGCACCACCUGUGUAGGACCCCGAAGGACACCAUAUCUCUAUGGUUUUUCCCUACAUGUCAAACCCAGGUAAGGUUCUUCGCGUUGCAUCGAAUUAAGCCACAUGCUCCGCCGCUUGUGCGGGUCCCCGUCAAUUCCUUUGAGUUUUAACCUUGCGGCCGUACUCCCCAGGCGGUCGACUUCACGCGUUAGCUUCGUUACUGAGAGUGUCAAACCCCCAACAACCAGUCGACAUCGUUUAGGGCGUGGACUAC
rnacentral:misc_RNA from 1 species